CAAUAGCGUAUAUUAAAGUUGUUGCAGUUAGAACGCUCGUAGUCGGAUUUCGGGGCGUUCCGACCGGUCUGCCGAUGGGUAUGCACUGGCCGGAGUGCCCUUUUUGCCGGAGACCGUGCCUACUCUUAACUGAGCGGGGGCGGGAGACGGCACUUUUACUUUGAAAAAAUCAGAGUGUUUCAAGCAGGCAGCUCGCUCUUGCAUGGAUUAGCAUGGGAUAAUGAAAUAGGACUUUGGUGCUAUUUUGUUGGUUUCGAACACCGAAGUAAUGAUGAGAAGGGACAGUCAGGGGCACUCGUAUUCCGCAGAGAGAGGUGAAAUUCUCAGACCCGCGGAAGACGAACCACUGCGAAAGCAUUUGCCAGGGAUGUUUNCACUGA
rnacentral:rRNA from 1 species